rnacentral:rRNA from 1 species
CAAAGUCCAAGGGUUCCUGCGCAAGGGUAAUCCGCGCAGGGUUAGCCGGCCCCUAAGGCGAGGACGAAAGUCGUAGUCGAUGGGAAUCAGGUAAAUAUUCCUGAGCCAGCUGGUAGUGACGAAGGCCGAAAGGUGUUUCCUCUUAUUGGAUUGAGAGAAGCGCCCUGGGACUUCCAGGAAAUAGCUCCAGCAAUGGACCGUACCCGAAACCGACACUGGUGGACGAGUAGAGUAUACUCAGGCGCUUGAGAGAAUGAUGUUGAAGGAACUCGGCAAAUUGACCUCGUAACUUCGGGAGAAGAGGUACCUUAUCGAGGGCAACCUUGGUAAGGUGACACAAACUAGGGGGUAGCGACUGUUUACCUAAAACACAGGACUAUGCAAAGACGAAAGUCGACGUAUAUGGUCUGACGCCUGCCCGGUGCUGGAAGGUUAAAAGGAGAAGUGCAAGCUUUGAAUUGAAGCCCCAGUAAACGGCGGCCGUAACAGUAACGGUCCUAAGGUAGCGAAAUUCCUUGUCGGGUAAGUUCCGACCUGCACGAAUGGCGUAACGACUUCCCCGCUGUCUCCAACAUCAACUCAGUGAAAUUGAAUUCUCCGUGAAGAUGCGGAGUACCCGCGGUCAGACGGAAAGACCCCGUGCACCUUUACUACAGCUUUGCAGUGGUAUUAGGAACAUCAUGUGUAGGAUAGGUGGGAGCCUUUGAAGCUUUGGCGCUAGCCAGAGUGGAGGCAACCUUGAAAUACCACCCUUGAUGGUCUUCAUAUCUAACCGAGAUCUGUGAUCCAGAUCCGGGACCCUGCAUGGUGGGUAGUUUGACUGGGGCGGUCGCCUCCCAAAGAGUAACGGAGGCGCGCGAAGGUGAGCUCAAGCUGGUCGGAAAUCAGCUGUGGAGUGCAAUGGCAUAAGCUCGCCUGACUGUAAGAUCGACAGAUCAAACAGAGACGAAAGUCGGUCAUAGUGAUCCGGUGGUCCCUCGUGGAAGGGCCAUCGCUCAACGAAUAAAAGGUACGCCGGGGAUAACAGGCUGAUCUCCCCCAAGAGUCCACAUCGACGGGGAGGUUUGGCACCUCGAUGUCGGCUCAUCACAUCCUGGGGCUGAAGCAGGUCCCAAGGGUUUGGCUGUUCGCCAAUUAAAGUGGUACGUGAGCUGGGUUCAGAACGUCGUGAGACAGUUCGGUCCCUAUCUGCCGUGGGUGUAUAAGAAUUGAGAGGAUCUGUCCCUAGUACGAGAGGACCGGGAUGGACGUACCUCUGGUGUACCAGUUGUGGCGCCUGCUGCAGCGCUGGGUAGCUAUGUACGGACGGGAUAACCGCUGAAAGCAUCUAAGCGGGAAACCCACCUCAAAACUAGUUCUUGCUAAGAGCCGUGGUAGACCACCACGUUGAUAGGCCGGGUGUGGAAGAGGCGUAAGUCUUGAAGCUAACCGGUACUAAUCGCUCA